UGGGGAAUUUUGGACAAUGGGCGAAAGCCUGAUCCAGCAAUGCCGCGUGUGGGAAGAAGGCCUUCGGGUUGUAAAGCACUUUUGUCCGGAAAGAAAUCCUUGGCUCUAAUACAGUCGGGGGAUGACGGUACCGGAAGAAUAAGCACCGGCUAACUACGUGCCAGCAGCCGCGGUAAUACGUAGGGUGCAAGCGUUAAUCGGAAUUACUGGGCGUAAAGCGUGCGCAGGCGGUUUGCUAAGACCGAUGUGAAAUCCCCGGGGCUCAACCUGGGGAACUGCAUUGGUGACUGGCAGGCUAGAGUAUGGCAGAGGGGGGUAGAAUUCCACGUGUAGCAGUGAAAUGCGUAGAGAUGUGGAGGAAUACCGAUGGCGAAGGCAGCCCCCUGGGCCAAUACUGACGCUCAUGCACGAAAGCGUGGGGGAGCAAACAGGAUUAGAUACCCUGGUAGUCCACGCCCUAAACGAUGUCAACUAGUUGUUGGGGAUUCAUUUCCUUAGUAACGUAGCUAACGCGUGAAGUUGACCGCCUGGGGAGUACGGUCGCAAGAUUAAACUUAAUGAAUUGACGGGGUCAUAGCUGUUUCCU
rnacentral:rRNA from 1 species